AGCGAACGCUGGCGGCAUGCUUAACACAUGCAAGUCGAACGGAAACGCCUUUUCGGCGGUCCCCGACGGGUGAACAGGUGCGUACCACGUGGGUGAUCUGCCGUGCACACUGGGAUAAGCCUGGGAAACUAGGGCAAAUACCGGUUAGGACCGCACCUUCGUGCGGGUGGAGGAAAGUUUUUUUGGUGUAGGAUGAGAUUGCGGCCUAUCAGCUCGUUGGUGGGGUUAAGGCCUGCCAAGGCGGCGACGGGGAGCCGGACCGAGCGGGUGGUCGGCCACAUCAGGACUGAGAUACAGCCAAGACUCCGACGGAAGGCAGCAGGGGCGAAUGUUGCACAAUGGGAGAAAGCGUGAGGCAGCGACGCCGCGGGGGUGUGGACGGCCUUCGGGUUGGAAGCGCAGCUCGCCAGUGACGAAGCGUUUUGUGACGGUACCUGGAGAAGAAGCCCCGGCUAACUACGUG
rnacentral:rRNA from 1 species